rnacentral:rRNA from 1 species
AUUGAACGCUGGCGGCAAGCCUAACACAUGCAAGUCGAGCGGGGUUUUCGGACCUAGCGGCGGACGGGUGAGUAAUGCGUAGGAAGCUACCCGAUAGAGGGGGAUACUAGGUGGAAACGACUGUUAAUACCGCAUAAUGUCUACGGACCAAAGUGUGGGACCUUCGGGCCACAUGCUAUCGGAUGCGCCUACGUGGGAUUAGCUAGUUGGUGAGGUAAUGGCUCACCAAGGCGACGAUCCCUAGCUGGUUUGAGAGGAUGAUCAGCCACACUGGAACUGAGACACGGUCCAGACUCCUACGGGAGGCAGCAGUGGGGAAUAUUGGACAAUGGGCGCAAGCCUGAUCCAGCCAUGCCGCGUGUGUGGAGAAGGCCUUCGGGUUGUAAAGCACUUUCAGUAGGGAGGAAGCGUUGUGUGUUAAUAGUACACAGCGUUGACGUUACCUACAGAAGAAGCACCGGCUAACUCUGUGCCAGCCGCCGCAGUAAAAC